rnacentral:rRNA from 1 species
AGAGUUUGAUUCUGGCUCAGAACGAACGCUGGCGGCAGGCUUAACACAUGCAAGUCGAACGAUAUAGUGGCAGACGGGUGAGUAACGCGUGGGAACGUACCUUUCACUACGGAAUAGCUCUUGGAAACGAGUGGUAAUACCGUAUACGCCCUUCGGGGGAAAGAUUUAUCGGUGAAAGAUCGGCCCGCGUUAGAUUAGCUAGUUGGUAGGGUAAUGGCCUACCAAGGCGACGAUCUAUAGCUGGUCUGAGAGGAUGAUCAGCCACACUGGGACUGAGACACGGCCCAGACUCCUACGGGAGGCAGCAGUGGGGAAUCUUGCACAAUGGGCGAAAGCCUGAUGCAGCCAUGCCGCGUGAAUGAUGAAGGCCUUAGGGUUGUAAAAUUCUUUCGCUAGGGAUGAUAAUGACAGUACCUAGUAAAGAAGCCCCGGCUAACUUCGUGCCAGCAGCCGCGGUAAUACGAAGGGGGCUAGCGUUGUUCGGAAUUACUGGGCGUAAAGCGCACGUAGGCGGACUUUUAAGUCAGAUGUGAAAUCCCGGGGCUCAACCUCGGAACUGCAUUUGAAACUGGAAGUCUAGAGACCAGGAGAGGUUAGCGGAAUACCGAGUGUAGAGGUGAAAUUCGUAGAUAUUCGGUGGAACACCAGUGGCGAAGGCGGCUAACUGGACUGGUACUGACGCUGAGGUGCGAAAGUGUGGGGAGCAAACAGGAUUAGAUACCCUGGUAGUCCACACCGUAAACGAUGAGAGCUAGUUGUUGGCAGGCAUGCCUGUCGGUGACGCAGCUAACGCAUUAAGCUCUC